rnacentral:misc_RNA from 1 species
GAAAUGCGAUAAGUAAUGCGAAUUGCAGAAUUCAGUGAAUCAUCGAAUCUUUGAACGCACAUUGCGCUCCUUGGUAUUCCUUGGAGCAUGCCUGUUUGAGUAUCAUGAAAUCUUCAAAGUAAAUCUUUUGUUAACUCAAUUGGUUUCUACUUUGGUAUUGGAGGUCUUUGCAGCUUCACACCUGCUCCUCUUUGUUCAUUAGCUGGAUCUCAGUGUUAUGCUUGGUUCCACUCGGCGUGAUAAGUUAUCUAUCGCUGAGGACACUGUAAAAGGUGGCCAAGGUAAAUGCAGAUGAACCGCUUCUAAUAGUCCAUUGACUUGGACAAUACUUUUAUGAUCUGAUCUCAAAUCAGGUAGGACUACCCGCUGAACUUAAGC